GAUGAACGCCGGCGGUGUGCCUAAUACAUGCAAGUCGUACGCACUGGCCCAACUGAUUGAUGGUGCUUGCACCUGAUUGACGAUGGAUCACCAGUGAGUGGCGGACGGGUGAGUAACACGUAGGUAACCUGCCCCGGAGCGGGGGAUAACAUUUGGAAACAGAUGCUAAUACCGCAUAACAACAGAAGCCAACAUGGCUUUUGUUUGAAAGAUGGCUUUGGCUAUCACUCUGGGAUGGACCCUGCGGUGCAUUAGCUAGUUGGUAAGUAACGGCUUACCAAGGCAAUGAUGCAUAGCCGAGUUGAGAGACUGGAUCGGCCACAAUGGGAACUGAGACACGGUCCAGUACCUCCUACGGGA
rnacentral:rRNA from 1 species